UUCAAUGGUAUAGGUCAAAAAUGACCUAUAAUGUAACCUCAUAUCACAUGCUCAUAAAAGUUGAAUUAGCUCUCACUCCAAACAAGAAGUUUGGAAAAAUCACUUGUUCAAUGGUAUAGGUCAAAAAUGACCUAUAAUGUAACCUCAUAUCACAUGCUCAUAAAAGUUGAAUUAGCUCUCACUCCAAACAUCAAAGUUGAAUUAGACAUCUUUAAUUUGAUUGUGCAACUUGUAAAUCUUUCAUAUCAUAAAAAUUUAGCAAGUUAUGGCCUUGGGAAGUUGACAUUCAAAUUAGGGUUUAGACAAAAUGACCUAUAAUGUUUCAACAUAGAAAAUGAUUUUCCAAGAAAA
rnacentral:lncRNA from 1 species